ACCAAUCUUUUUGUUCAAAGACACCAAUACCACGCCAAUACCAUAAACAAAGCCAAUAAAUCAUAUAUAAAACUUCCAGUUGAUGUAGAACAUAUAUCAAGAACAAACUUCAAAUUGGACAUUUUUCGUACUUUUUUAGUUAUUUUAUGGUUAUUUUGAAUGAAAACAAAUGACAAUAUUUUAAAUUUUAAAAUUGUGUUUUAAAACUUACUCUAUUAUCUACGUUUUAAAUACUCAGAAAUACGUAAAUAGGUUGUUUAUGAUGGCUAGACGAUUGAUUUCUAUUUUACUAUUGCAAAGAUUGUUUCCAUUACCGAGGUGUAAUUUUAGUGCCAAUAUAAAUCCUUAUAUAGGAUAUAAUAGUCAAUUAACAGUCAGUGUUAUAAGACGAUAUGGCUCAGAACAUCCAAAUAAUAGUAGCAUACCAUUAGCAAAACUUGAAAGCAAGCUCCAUUUAGAAUAUACCUGCAAAGUUUGCAGUAGUCGAAAUACCCAUAAAAUAUCAAGAGUAGCUUAUGAAAAGGGAGUUGUUAUUGUCGAGUGUAUAAGUUGCAAAAAUAACCAUCUAAUUGCUGAUAACUUGAAUUGGUUCACAGAUUUAAAUGGAAAGAAAAAUAUUGAAGAAAUUUUAGCUGAAAAGGGGGAAACUAUUAAAAAAGUUAAUUAUGGAGAAUUUAUUUCAAAUAAUACUUGAGACAACUUGUUCAAACUAUAUAUUACCAUUUGAAUAAAAUAUAAGUUUGA